CCAUUCACGUCUUCAGUAAGUGACCUGCGGAAGGACAUUA
rnacentral:rRNA from 1 species